rnacentral:rRNA from 1 species
UACGUAGGGUGCUAGCGUUGUUCGGAAUUACUGGGCGUAAAGCGCGUGUAGGCGGGCGAAUAAGUCAGGGGUGAAAUGCCAAGGCUCAACCUUGGAACUGCCUUUGAUACUGUUCGUCUUGAGUCCGGGAGAGGUGAGUGGAACUGCGAGUGUAGAGGUGAAAUUCGUAGAUAUUCGCAAGAACACCAGUGGCGAAGGCGGCUCACUGGCCCGGAACUGACGCUGAGACGCGAAAGCGUGGGGAGCAAACAGG